AGCAGCCGCGGUAAUUCCAGCUCCAAUAGCGUAUAUUAAAGUUGUUGCAGUUAAAAAGCUCGUAGUUGAAUUUCGGGAUCAGUACGCCGGUCGUGCCUCCGGUAUGUACUGGUGUCACUGAUUCCUCCCUUCUGAAGAACCAUCAUGCCAUUAAUUUGGUGUGGUGGGAAAUCAGGACUGUUACUUUGAAAAAAUUAGAGUGUUUAAAGCAGGCUCGCGCUUGAAUACAUUAGCAUGGAAUAAUGAAAUAGGACGUUUAUCCUAUUUUGUUGGUUUCUAGGAUUGACGUAAUGAUUAAUAGGGAUAGUUGGGGGCAUUAGUAUUCAAUUGUCAGAGGUGAAAUUCUUGGAUUUAUUGAAGACUAACUACUGACGAAAGCAUUUGCCAAGGAUGUUUUCAUUAAUCAAGAACGAAAGUUAGGGAUCGAAGACGAUCAGAUACCGUCGUAGUCUUAACCAUAAACUAUGCCGACUAGGGGAUCGGGAUGAUGUUAAUUUUUUAAUGUACUCAUUCGGCGUAC
rnacentral:rRNA from 1 species